GAUGAACGCUAGCGGCAGGCUUAAUACAUGCAAGUCGAGGGGCAGCGGGAGUAGCAAUACUUGCCGGCGACCGGCGCACGGGUGCGUAACACGUAUACAAUCUACCCUUUACAGGGGGAUAGCCCUCCGAAAGGAGGAUUAAUACCCCAUAAUAAAUUGAAUGGCAUCAUUUGAUUUUGAAAGAUUUAUCGGUAAAGGAUGAGUAUGCGUCUGAUUAGCUAGUUGGAGAGGUAACGGCUCCCCAAGGCGACGAUCAGUAGGGGAUCUGAGAGGACUACCCCCCACACUGGUACUGAGACACGGACCAGACUCCUACGGGAGGCAGCAGUAAGGAAUAUUGGUCAAUGGAGGCAACUCUGAACCAGCCAUGCCGCGUGCAGGAAGACGGCCCUAUGGGUUGUAAACUGCUUUUGUACGGGAGAAAACCCUUUCACGUGUGGGAGGUUGAUAGUACCGUAAGAAUAAGCAUCGGCUAACUUCGUGCCAGCAGCCGCGGUAAGACGAAGGAUGCAAGCGUUAUCCGGAUUCAUUGGGUUUAAAGGGAGCGUAGGUGGACUUGUAAGUCAGUGGUGAAAUCUCUCAGCUUAACUGAGAAACUGCCAUUGAUACUGCAGGUCUUGAGUACAGAUGAUGUGGGCGGAAUAUGACAUGUAGUGGUGAAAUACUUAGAUAUGUCAUAGAACACCGAUUGCGAAGGCAGCUCACAAAACUGUAACUGACACUGAGGCUCGAAAGUGCGGGGAUCAAACAGGAUUAGAUACCCUGGUAGUCCGCACCGUAAACGAUGAUAACUCGUUGUUAGCGGUAUGACAGUUAGCGACCAAGCGAAAGCGAUAAGUUAUCCACCUGGGGAGUACGCCGGCAACGGUGAAACUCAAAGGAAUUGACGGGGGCCCGCACAAGCGGAGGAGCAUGUGGUUUAAUUCGAUGAUACGCGAGGAACCUUACCUGGGCUUGAAAGUUAGUGACCGUCUCUGAAAGGAGAUUUUCCGCAAGGACACGAAACUAGGUGCUGCAUGGCUGUCGUCAGCUCGUGCCGUGAGGUGUUGGGUUAAGUCCCGCAACGAGCGCAACCCCUACCAUCAGUUACCAGCGAGUAAUGUCGGGAACUCUAAUGGAACUGCCCGUGCAAACGGUGAGGAAGGUGGGGAUGACGUCAAGUCAUCACGGCCCUUACGUCCAGGGCUACACACGUGCUACAAUGGCCGGUACAACGGGCAGCUACACAGUGAUGUGAUGCUAAUCUCUAAAAACCGGUCUCAGUUCGGAUUGAAGUCUGCAACUCGACUUCAUGAAGCUGGAUUCGCUAGUAAUCGCGCAUCAGCAAUGGCGCGGUGAAUACGUUCCCGGGCCU
rnacentral:rRNA from 1 species